rnacentral:misc_RNA from 1 species
GGAAGUAAAAGUCGUAACAAGGUUUCCGUAGGUGAACCUGCGGAAGGAUCAUUAUUGAAUGAAACACUUCUGGCUUUAUGCUGUUGUGCUGGCCCUUUGGGCAAUGUGCACACGGCUCUGGUCACUUGUUUCUUCUGUUCCACCUGUGCACUGCCUGUAGACACGCUGUGUCUAUGAUAUUUGUUAACACACAACAAUGUUAGUUGGCAUGUUAUAUAUAAUAAUAAAAUAUACAACUUUCAACAACGGAUCUCUUGGCUCUC